AAAAAAAAGAGAAAAAGGAAAAGAAAAAGAGAGAAGAAAGAAGAAGGACAGAAGAAAAGCAGAGAAAGGGAAAGGAAAAGAUAAAGUACUCACAGGAUCCUGGGGGCUCAGGCCAAUGUUGAACAGAAAUUGCUCCCUCAGAAGAUUGGGAAGGGAAGGAGCGGAAUAGGCGAGAAGCUUCCGGGCAGCCUGGAGGUCAUCCUCCCCCAGGCUGGGGGUCCGGCGGACAGAAUCCCUCAGAGAGCCCCAAGGGGGCAGGCCCAGCCUCAGGGUCGGACAGUG
rnacentral:lncRNA from 1 species